rnacentral:misc_RNA from 1 species
GUAGGUGAACCUGCGGAGGGAUCAUUAACACGUAUCCAAACGUUAAAACCAAACCGUGCUCCUCUUUUUGCCCAUACUGGAAGGUGUAUAUGCAAGCCAUAAGAUAGAUUCAUUAAGGGGGUAAAAGCCCUUUUUGUCUACUUGCAGUACUAUGAUCCCCUUGAGGAUCGAACCGCUCUGGUAUGGUGUAUCAAAAGCUAUCUUGGUUAUCAGUGCCACCCCGGUAUCGACCCGGAGCCUGGUAGCCUUAUUAAUCCCUUUUUUAACCCCUUUAUUUUUUACAAAACUACUGAUUUUACUUCAUGACCUUUUGGCCCUUAAUUGGUGCCUGGGUUAGAAUGUAUACGAAAUUGCGAACAACUCUUAGCAACGGAUAUCUUGGUUCUC